UAACACUAACUGGAGGACCGAACCGACUAAUGUUGAAAAAUUAGCGGAUGACCUGUGGCUGGGGGUGAAAGGCCAAUCAAACCGGGAGAUAGCUGGUUCUCCCCGAAAGCUAUUUAGGUAGCGCCUCGUGAAUUCAUCUCCGGGGGUAGAGCACUGUUUCGGCUAGGGGGCCAUCCCGGCUUACCAACCCGAUGCAAACUGCGAAUACCGGAGAAUGUUAUCACGGGAGACACACGGCGGGUGCUAACGUCCGUCGUGAAGAGGGAAACAACCCAGACCGCCAGCUAAGGUCCCAAAGUCAUGGUUAAGUGGGAAACGAUGUGGGAAGGCCCAGACAGCCAGGAUGUUGGCUUAGAAGCAGCCAUCAUUUAAAGAAAGCGUAAUAGCUCACUGGUCGAGUCGGCCUGCGCGGAAGAUGUAACGGGGCUAAACCAUGCAC
rnacentral:rRNA from 1 species